UUGGAGGGCAAGUCUGGUGCCAGCAGCCGCGGUAAUUCCAGCUCCAAUAGCGUAUAUUAAAGUUGUUGCAGUUAAAAAGCUCGUAGUUGAAUUUCGGAAUCUGUCCGUCGGUUGGGCUUCACUGUCCGUACUGGUGUGAUGGGUUUCUACCUUCUGAAUAAUCGGCAUGUCAUUUAUUUGGUGCGCCGGGGAAGCAGAACUAUUACCUUGAAAAAAUUAGAGUGCUUAAAGCAGGCUAUCGCCUGAAUAGAUUAGCAUGGAAUAAUAAAAUAGGACGGCAUGGUUCUAUUUUGUUGGUUUCUAGGAUCACCGUAAUGAUUAAUAGGGAUAGUUGGGGGCAUUAGUAUUCAAUUGUCAGAGGUGAAAUUCUUGGAUUUAUUGAAGACUAACUUCUGCGAAAGCAUUUGCCAAGGAUGUUUUCAUUAAUCAAGAACGAAAGUUAGGGGAUCGAAGACGAUCAGAUACCGUCGUAGUCUUAACCAUAAACUAUGCCGACUAGGGAUCGGACGAUGUUAAUUUUUUAAUGACUCGUUCGGCGCCUUACGGGAAAC
rnacentral:rRNA from 1 species